GAUGAACGCUGGCGGCGUGCUUAACACAUGCAAGUCGAACGAUGAAGCCCAGCUUGCUGGGUGGAUUAGUGGCGAACGGGUGAGUAACACGUGAGUAACCUGCCCUUAACUCUGGGAUAAGCCUGGGAAACUGGGUCUAAUACCGGAUAGGAGCGCCUACCGCAUGGUGGGUGUUGGAAAGAUUUAUCGGUUUUGGAUGGACUCGCGGCCUAUCAGCUUGUUGGUGAGGUAAUGGCUCACCAAGGCGACGACGGGUAGCCGGCCUGAGAGGGUGACCGGCCACACUGGGACUGAGACGCGGCCCAGACUCCUACGGGAGGCAGCAGUGGGGAAUAUUGCACAAUGGGCGAAAGCCUGAUGCAGCGACGCCGCGUGAGGGAUGACGGCCUUCGGGUUGUAAACCUCUUUCAGUAGGGAAGAAGCGAAAGUGACGGUACCUGCAGAAGAAGCACCGGCUAACUACGUG
rnacentral:rRNA from 1 species